rnacentral:misc_RNA from 1 species
GCCGCAAGGCCUCCCGGGUAACCUACCACCCUUUGUUUAUUACACUUUGUUGCUUUGGCAGGCCUGCCCUCGGGCUGCUGGCUCCGGCCGGCGAGCGCUUGCCAGAGGACUAAACUCUGUUUGUCUAUACUGUCUGAGUACUAUAUAAUAGUUAAAACUUUCAACAACGGAUCUCUUGGUUCUGGCAUCGAUGAAGAACG